rnacentral:rRNA from 1 species
AGAGUGAACGCUGGCGGUAGGCCUAACACAUGCAAGUCGAACGGCAGCACAGUGGUAGCAAUACCAUGGGUGGCGAGUGGCGGACGGGUGAGGAAUACAUCGGAAUCUACCUUUUCGUGGGGGAUAACGUAGGGAAACUUACGCUAAUACCGCAUACGCCCUUCGGGGGAAAGCCGGGGAUCGCAAGACCUGGCGCGGAUAGAUGAGCCGAUGUCGGAUUAGCUAGUUGGUGAGGUAAUGGCUCACCAAGGCGACGAUCCGUAGCUGGUCUGAGAGGAUGAUCAGCCACACUGGAACUGAGACACCGGUCAGACUCCGUACGGGAGCAGCGAGUGGGAAUAGUGGACAAUGGGCGCAAGCCUGACUCCGAGCCCAAUACCCGGCGGUGGGGUAGAAAGG